rnacentral:rRNA from 1 species
GAGCGAACGCUGGCGGCAGGCUUAACACAUGCAAGUCGAGCGGGCCCUUCGGGGUCAGCGGCGGACGGGUGAGUAACGCGUGGGAACGUGCCUUCUGGUUCGGAAUAACCCUGGGAAACUAGGGCUAAUACCGGAUACGCCCUUUUGGGGAAAGGUUUACUGCCGGAGGAUCGGCCCGCGUCUGAUUAGCUAGUUGGUGGGGUAACGGCCUACCAAGGCGACGAUCAGUAGCUGGUCUGAGAGGAUGAUCAGCCACACUGGGACUGAGACACGGCCCAGACUCCUACGGGAGGCAGCAGUGGGGAAUAUUGGACAAUGGGCGCAAGCCUGAUCCAGCCAUGCCGCGUGAGUGAUGAAGGCCUUAGGGUUGUAAAGCUCUUUUAUCCGGGACGAUAAUGACGGUACCGGAGGAAUAAGCCCCGGCUAACUUCGUGCCAGCAGCCGCGGUAAUACGAAGGGGGCUAGCGUUGCUCGGAAUCACUGGGCGUAAAGGGCGCGUAGGCGGCGUUUUAAGUCGGGGGUGAAAGCCUGUGGCUCAACCACAGAAUGGCCUUCGAUACUGGGACGCUUGAGUAUGGUAGAGGUUGGUGGAACUGCGAGUGUAGAGGUGAAAUUCGUAGAUAUUCGC